rnacentral:rRNA from 1 species
ACGCUGGCGGCGUGCCUAAUACAUGCAAGUCGAGCGAGCUGAAUUCAAAGAUCCCUUCGGGGUGACUUGUUGGAUGCUAGCGGCGGAUGGGUGAGUAACACGUGGGCAAUCUGCCCUAAAGACUGGGAUACCACUUGGAAACAGGUGCUAAUACCGGAUAACAACAUGAAUCGCAUGAUUCAAGUUUGAAAGGCGGCGCAAGCUGUCACUUUAGGAUGAGCCCGCGGCGCAUUAGCUAGUUGGUGGGGUAAAGGCCUACCAAGGCAAUGAUGCGUAGCCGAGUUGAGAGACUGAUCGGCCACAUUGGGACUGAGACACGGCCCAAACUCCUACGGGAGGCAGCAGUAGGGAAUCUUCCACAAUGGACGCAAGUCUGAUGGAGCAACGCCGCGUGAGUGAAGAAGGUCUUCGGAUCGUAAAGCUCUGUUGUUGGUGAAGAAGGAUAGAGGCAGUAACUGGUCUUUAUUUGACGGUAAUCAACCAGAAAGUCACGGCUAACUACGUGCCAGCAGCCGCGGUAAUACGUAGGUGGCAAGCGUUGUCCGGAUUCAUUGGGCGUAAAGCGAGCGCAGGCGGAAUGAUAAGUCUGAUGUGAAAGCCCACGGCUCAACCGUGGAACUGCAUCGGAAACUGUCAUUCUUGAGUGCAGAAGAGGAGAGUGGAACUCCAUGUGUAGCGGUGGAAUGCGUAGAUAUAUGGAAGAACACCAGUGGCGAAGGCGGCUCUCUGGUCUGCAACUGACGCUGAGGCUCGAAAGCAUGGGUAGCGAACAGGAUUAGAUACCCUGGUAGUCCAUGCCGUAAACGAUGAGCGCUAGGUGUUGGGGACUUUCCGGUCCUCAGUGCCGCAGCAAACGCAUUAAGCGCUCCGCCUGGGGAGUACGACCGCAAGGUUGAAACUCAAAGGAAUU